rnacentral:rRNA from 1 species
CCUACGGGAGGCAGCAGUAGGGAAUCUUCCGCAAUGGACGAAAGUCUGACGGAGCAACACCGCGUGAGUGAUGAAGGCUUUCGGGUCGUAAAACUCUGUUGUUAGGGAAGAACAAGUGCUAGUUGAAUAAGCUGGCACCUUGACGGUACCUAACCAGAAAGCCACGGCUAACUACGUGCCAGCAGCCGCGGUAAUA